rnacentral:rRNA from 1 species
AGCUUCUGACUGCUUAUUGCACCACAUGUGUUUUUCUUUGAAACAAACUUGCUUUGGCGGUGGGCCCAGCCUGCCGCCAGAGGUCUAAACUUACAACCAAUUUUUUAUCAACUUGUCACACCAGAUUAUUACUAAUAGUCAAAACUUUCAACAACGGAUCUCUUGGUUCUCGCAUCGAUGAAGAACGCAGCGAAAUGCGAUACGUAAUAUGAAUUGCAGAUAUUCGUGAAUCAUCGAAUCUUUGAACGCACAUUGCGCCCUCUGGUAUUCCGGAGGGCAUGCCUGUUUGAGCGUCGUUUCUCCCUCAAACCGCUGGGUUUGGUGUUGAGCAAUACGACUUGGGUUUGCUUGAAAGACGGUAGUGGUAAGGCGGGAUCGCUUUGACAAUGGCUUAGGUCUAACCAAAAACAUUGCUUGCGGCGGCAACGUCUACCACGUAUAUCUUCAAACUUUGACCUCAAAUCAGGUAGGACUACCCGCUGAACUUAAGCAUAUCAAAAGCGGAGGAA